rnacentral:lncRNA from 1 species
AGCUUGAAGUGUCCAGGAGCUCCGGAGAACUACCCUCCCCUCACGGGUGUUUUGACUGCACUUAGUCAAUGCCGAGCACCUACCAGGAGCUCUAACACUGAUCCCUUUGCUCUUUCCAAUCACGCAGAGACACACGCACACCCUGGGGAGGUCCCACCGAAAUACAGGUCCUUUAAAUGUACCACUGAGCCAGCAAGAAGGUGAAGGAAAAGCCAAAAUCAAAAAGCCAGGAAUUCCUGAAGGCUUGACCCUUCCCAGACCCUGCUCCUGUGACCCAGCCAAUUUUACAGAAUCAGCAUUGCCCAAGUUCAUCGAGCCUUGGCACAUCCAAGUGGUCUUUCAUGACUUCUUCAUUAUAGGAAGAGAUGCAAGAGAGAAGUCUGCUGCGGAAGGCCUGCAUGCAACCUGGUGUCCUUAUGAAAAGAGGAAGCUUAAACCCACAGAGAAACACCAGGGGCAUGUGUACACUGAGGAAAGACCAUGCAAGGAGGCAGCAAGGUGUCUGCUAUCUGUAAGCCAAGGAGAGACCCCUCAACAGAAACCAGUCCUGCCGCCAUUUUGAUAUUGGACUUCCAUUCUCCAGAACUUCGAGAAAAUAGAUUUCUGUUGUCAGCCACUCAGACUGUGGUAGUUUGUUACACAGUCAUGGUUCAAACCAUGCAAACUAAUACACUAUAGUAAGGCAAAACAAUCACUUGGAUGAUAGGAAAUUAAGAGGACUUUAGGAAUAUCGAAGGUAACAAAUGGAAUAUACACAUGUACACACACACAUACACGCACGCACAUAUAUACCCAUACAUCCAUGUAUAUAAAGAGAAAAUGAAAUUAAAACAACGUC